AGCUUCUGCUGGAAGCAGAGCUGCAGGUGUGAAGAGUCCAGGCCUUUGGUCACCCUGGCUCACGCACAGCACGCCUCCUGCUGCACACAGCUGUCACCCCACAGAGAGCUCUCCCCUUGGGAGGAAGGAUGUGCUCAUCCCUCUGAGUCCUCCCCCUAGGAAGGCAUGCUCCUCCCUCCUCACUGGUGAGAGGCGCUGGCCCCGGGGGAUGGACACGGAGGGGUGGGGGCAGGGAGCUCUGCGUUUACCACACAGACUCGCUCUCAUGCGGGUCCCACUGCUAGACUCCAAGCUAGACGAGGACAGAUCGUUCAGUAGACGUGAAGGGCCUGCCCAGUCAGGGAUGUUCCAGGUGCUGCAGAGCCAGUUAAACCAGGUAUGGUCCCGGCCACCAAGGAUUUGAGGCCACAGAGAGUAAAGGGCAAGAAAGCCAUUCAGGAACUCAGGACCUCUGAGAACCCACUCUUUGGUAUGUAAAAAAGAGAACGGAGGGGUGGCUGGGUGGCUCAAUCAGUUAAGCAUCUGCCUUCCGUUCCGGUCAUGAUCCUGGGGGUUCUGGGAUCGAGUCCCACUUCGGGCUCCCGGCUCGCUGGAGAGCCUGCUUCUCCUCUCCCUCUGCCCCUCCCUACCGCUUGUGCUCGCUCGCUUGCUCACUCUGGCUCUAUUUCCAAUAAGUAAGUAAAAAUCUUAAAACAAAAAAAAAGAGAGAGAACUGAUCAUGAAUUCCAAGAGUUGGUUGUUAAGGUAAAUAAUAGGUUUGGGGUUUCAAAAUUCGCUUCAGGAAGAGGCUGGUGAAACCCAAAUCCCCAUCACUGUCCCAGUCACUGCCCAGGCCUAUUUCUCCCCCGAGCUUAUCAUUGUUUACACGACUGCUUCAAAUUUCAUAAACCCUAGUGUCCAUUCCACCAGGAUUCAUGGAUCCAAAAUAAUGGAGUCCAUGAAGAAUCUUGGUUUUUUUGUGUUUUGUUUUGAGAGCGAGGGGGAGAGGCACAGGGGGAGAGCGAAUAUCAAGCAGAUUCCACGCCAGCGCGAGCCUGACACGGAACUCGAUCUCACAAACCUGAGAUCAUGACCUGAACCAAUAUCAAGUGUCGGAGGCUCAACCAAGCCACCCGGGUACCCCAGAAGCAUCUUAUUUUCUGAUCCUGGAUCCCCUGGGCUCUGGACCAUCUAACUUUUUAACGACUGUGCCACCCAGGCGCCCCAGGACCAUCUAACUUUUUAAAGCCUCCAGUUUGUUACCCAUCCCUUCCAAUACUUGAGACACUGCAAAAUUCAGACACCGGUGGGCCAGGCAGGUAGCUUACCAGGGGCCAGGUGAGGAUAUGGCCAACUGAAGGGCUUAGGCUCGCAGUGGCCCUUGUUUCCCUGUGGGACUGAGGAUUUACUCAGUGUUGCCAAAU
rnacentral:lncRNA from 1 species